UGCCCUACGGGUUGUAAACUGCUUUUAUCCGGGAAUAAACCUUUCUACGUGUAGAGAGCUGAAUGUACCGGAAGAAUAAGGAUCGGCUAACUCCGUGCCAGCAGCCGCGGUAAUACGGAGGAUCCAAGCGUUAUCCGGAUUUAUUGGGUUUAAAGGGUGCGUAGGCGGCCUGUUAAGUCAGGGGUGAAAGACGGUAGCUCAACUAUCGCAGUGCCCUUGAUACUGAUGGGCUUGAAUGGACUAGAGGUAGGCGGAAUGAGACAAGUAGCGGUGAAAUGCAUAGAUAUGUCUCAGAACACCGAUUGCGAAGGCAGCUUACUAUGGUUCUAUUGACGCUGAGGCACGAAAGCGUGGGGAUCGAACAGGAUUAGAUACCCUGGUAGUCCACGCCCUAAACGAUGAACACUCGCUGUUGGCGAUACACAGUCAGCGGCUAAGCGAAAGCGUUAAGUGUUCCACCUGGGGAGUACGGUCGCAAGAUUGAAACUCAAAGGAAUUGACGGAAUCACUA
rnacentral:rRNA from 1 species